GAUGAACGCUAGCGGGAGGCCUAACACAUGCAAGCCGAGCGGUAGAGUUUCUUCGGAAACUUAAGAGCGGCGCACGGGUGCGUAACACGUGUGCAACCUACCUUUAUCUGGGGGAUAGCCUUUCGAAAGGAAGAUUAAUACCCCACGAUAUAAUGAUUGGCAUCAAUUAUUAUUGAAAACUCCGGUGGAUAGAGAUGGUCACGCGCAAGAUUAGAUAGUUGGUGAGGUAACGGCUCACCAAGUCAAUGAUCUUUAGGGGUCCUGAGAGGGAGAUCCCCCACACUGGUACUGAGACACGGACCAGACUCCUACGGGAGGCAGCAGUGAGGAAUAUUGGACAAUGGGUGAGAGCCUGAUCCAGCCAUCCCGCGUGAAGGAGGACGGCCCUAUGGAUUGUAAACUUCUGUUGUACAGGGAUAAACCUACCCUCGUGAGGGUAGCUGAAGGUACUGUACGAAUAAGCACCGGCUAACUCCGUG
rnacentral:rRNA from 1 species